rnacentral:rRNA from 1 species
AUGAGGUGCUUGCUCAAGACGAACAUUGUGGUCAUAGGGACCGGUCCGAGUCUCAGAUUCAAGCUUUCAGAGAGUGUUUGCUGUCUAACGGACUUGGGAUACUCUGGACCGAGGUUUACUUGGUGCAACAAACAAGAGUCGGGCUGUCAUGUCAAGUGUCGGCUGGACCGUGCUGUUGCAAAUGGUGCUUUCACGAGUUUGUUUGAUGACUGUGGGGUAGAGAAUCUUAUUGCAACUUCUUCUGAUCACUACCCUGUGUUGGUUUCUUUAGUUUGCAGCGAUCGUCAGAAUCGGAUAUCUCCUGUCCAGCAAAGUUUCAAAUUUGAGGCUAUGUGGCUGAGGGCCGACGACUACAAGGGGACUGUGGAACAAGCUUGGUCUGACGGUCGGGCGGGCUGCCCGUCCUUGGAAUCCACCUGGUCUAAUCUGAAACAUGUCGCUGGCUCUUUACGAUCAUGGAGCAAAGAGGCCUUUGGUUGCAUCAGAAGGAAAAUUGGGAAGCUGGAGCGACGCUUGGCUUCUAUUAGGUCGUCGCCUCCAACUCCUGCUCUGCUGGCGGAGGAACGGUCGAUCGAGGGACAACUGUGCGAGCUUUUUGAACGUGAGGAAAUUAUGGCACGUCAACGAUCCCGGAUUGAUUGGCUGCAAGCGGGCGAUCGCAACACGGAUUUCUUUCAUGCUAGGGUGACUGCUCGUAGGCGGACGAACAGGAUACACUCGUUGAUCCGUGGAGAUGGCUCCUGCUGCAAUUCCUAGGGGGAAAUCAAGGGCCUGGUUCAAGACUUCUAUAAACUCUUUACCUCUGAACCUUGCCAAACUGCGGACAAGGUCAUUGAUGCCAUUAAUCCUAAGAUCACGCCGGAGAUGAAUGAGGAUCUCUGCAAGCCGUACUCUAAUGAGGAGAUCAAAACCGCUUUGUUUCAGAUGGGCCCGACGAAGGCGCCGGGUCCUGACGGUUUUCCGGCUCAGUUCUAUCAAACACAUUGGAGUUUUCUUGGGGAAGACAUAUGCCAGGCCAUGCGUGGUUUCCUUGAAGGGAGGCCCAUCCCUGAGGGCUUUUGUGACUCUGUCAUUGUUUUAAUCCCCAAAACUUCUCGACCCAAACACUUGAAGAACUUCCGUCCAAUCAACCUCUGCAAUGUGCUUUAUAAGAUUGCUUCCAAGGUUCUGGCCAAUCGGUUGAAGCUUCUCCUACCGGUUGUGGUUUUAGAGUGUCAGAGUGCUUUUGUGCCGGGCAGAUUAAUCACCGACAAUACUUUGAUUGCUUACGAAUGCUUGCACACGAUCAGAAGGCAACGGGUGAAGAAACCUUUCUUUGCUCUCAAGAUUGACAUGAUGAAGGCUUAUUGA